GACAUUCCUGAUCGCCUCAUUUUUCCCGGUAUGCCUCUCAGGGCUGAGGUGGGGAACCCGCCUGAGGAGGAUUUCGUGAGGAUUCCACGUUGGACACCAGGAUCAGCAGUCAAUGACACAACAUCUAAAUCUCUUUCUUCGGAGCGGAGUGGUUUGCAGGGCUCCAAUACAAUGCAGCACUGGAGAUAGCAAGACUUAAUUCUCCCAGGAUUGUGCUGUCUCCCAGCAAUCACAGGGAUUCUGGACUAGAAAAUUAACUUGUUAAAAGCUCUAGCCAUCACUCUCUGAGUCUGAUAGACAAAUCCAUCCA
ensembl:lncRNA